rnacentral:rRNA from 1 species
CCUACGGGAGGCAGCAGUGAGGAAUAUUGGUCAAUGGGCGAGAGCCUGAACCAGCCAAGUAGCGUGCAGGAUGACGGCCCUAUGGGUUGUAAACUGCUUUUAUAAGGGAAUAAAGUGAGCCUCGUGAGGCUUUUUGCAUGUACCUUUAUGAAUAAGGACCGGCUAAUUCCGUGCCAGCAG